AGACACCAUCCCCAGCUCUCUGACCCCGGAGGAACUCUCACUGAUUAGGAUUUAGUACGGGAUUCCUCCGGAGUAUGAGCUGGAGCUUUUCGGGCCGACUGGCCGGGCUAGCGCUCCUCCCUCCGGCUGCUUCUGUUUAUAACAAAAAGCUUUCCGCAUCGGGCUUUGACUUCCGCUUUCACCUUUUGUUAUUGGUCUCUUCUACUUCUUAAAUAUUUUUUUAGUUUCUGUAGCACCGAACUCGUUUAGAUUUCUGAUAGGA
rnacentral:lncRNA from 1 species